rnacentral:rRNA from 1 species
CCUACGGGAGGCAGCAGUGAGGAAUAUUGGUCAAUGGACGCGAGUCUGAACCAGCCAAGUCGCGUGAGGGAAGACGGCCCUAUGGGUUGUAAACCUCUUUUGUCGGGGAGCAAAAGGCGCCACGCGUGGCGUUCCGAGAGUACCCUAAGAAAAAGCAUCGGCUAACUCCGUGCCAGCAGCCGCGGUAAUACGGAGGAGCCGAGCGUUAUCCGGAUUUAUUGGGUUUAAAGGGAGCGUAGGCGGAUGUUAAAGUCAGCGGUAAAAUUGCGCGGCUCAACCGCGAACUGCAGUUGAAACUGGGCGUCUUGAGUGCAGUAGAGGUAGGCGGAAUGCGUGGUGUAGCGGUGAAAUGCAUAGAUAUCACGAAGAACUCCGAUUGCGAAGGCAGCCUGCCGGGGUGCGACUGACGCUGAGGCUCGAAAGUGUGGGUAUCAAACAGGAUUAGAUACCCUUGUAGUC